rnacentral:tRNA from 1 species
GCCAUGCGUCGUCCAGCGGCCAAGGACACGGCACUCGGGUUCGCCCCGAUGCGGAAACCCCGGUUCGAAUCCGGGCGAUGGCA